CCCGACUGCUAUUUGGGUGAGGAUAAGCCAUGCGAGUUGAAUGGAAUACCUAAAUUUUCCAUGGCAAACUGCUCAGUAACACAUGAUCAACUUACCCUAUAGAGAAAAAUAACCUCGGGAAACUGAGGAUAAUGUUUCAUAGUUGAAAAGGCUUGGAAAAGUUUUUCAAUCAAAGGGAUAAAAAAAAUGGUUUUUAUCCGCUAUAGGAUAGGAUCGUGGUCGAUUAUGGUUGUUGGUGAGGUAAUGGCUCACCAAGCCGAUAAUCGAUAGGGGCCGUGAGAGCGGGAGCCCCGAGAUGGGUACUGAGACAACGACCCAGGCCUUACGAGGCGCAGCAGGCGCGAAACCUCCGCAAUACACGAAAGUGUGACGGGGUUACCCAAAGUGUUCAGUUUUGAACUGUGGUAGGUGAGUAAUGUCCCCUACUAGAAAGGAGAGGGCAAGGCUGGUGCCAGCCGCCGCGGUAAAACCAGCUCUUCAAGUGGUCGGGAUAAUAUUGGGCUUAAAGUGUCCAUAGCCGGUUUAGUAAGUUCCUGGUAAAAUCGGGUAGCUUAACUAUCUGUAUGCUAGGAAUACUGCUAAACUAGAGGGCGGGAGAGGUCUGAGGUACUACAGGGGUAGGGGUGAAAUCUUAUAAUCCUUGUAGGACCACCAGUGGCGAAGGCGUCAGACUGGAACGUGCCUGACGGUGAGGGACGAAAGCCAGGGGAGCGAACCGGAUUAGAUACCCGGGUAGUCCUGGUCGUAAACGAUGCAUACUAGGUGAUGGCAUGGCCAUGAGCCGUGUCAGUGCCGUAGGGAAACCGUUAAGUAUGCCGCCUGGGAAGUACGGUCGCAAGGCUAAAACUUAAAGGAAUUGGCGGGGGAGCACCACAAGGGUGAAGCCUGCGGUUCA
rnacentral:rRNA from 1 species